rnacentral:rRNA from 1 species
UUCCAGACUCCUACGGGAGGCAGCAGUGAGGAAUAUUGGUCAAUGGGCGGGAGCCUGAACCAGCCAAGCCGCGUGAGGGAAGAAGGUCCAGCGUAUCGUAAACCUCUUUUGUCAGGGAACAAAGGCGGGGACUAGUCCCCGGAUGAGGGUACCUGAAGAAAAAGCAUCGGCUAACUCCGUGCCAGCAGCCGCGGUAAUACGGAGGAUGCGAGCGUUAUCCGGAUUUAUUGGGUUUAAAGGGUGCGCAGGCGGUCUGUUAAGUCAGCGGUCAAAGCCCGGGGCUCAACCCCGGUCCGCCGUUGAAACUGGCAGUCUCGAGUUGGAGAGAAGUAUGCGGAAUGCGCGGUGUAGCGGUGAAAUGCAUAGAUAUCACGCAGAACUCCGAUUGCGAAGGCAGCGCACCGGCGCCCUACUGACGCUCAGGCACGAAAGCGUGGGUAUCGAACAGGAUUAGAUACCCUCGUAC